rnacentral:misc_RNA from 1 species
GAUGAAGAACGUAGUGAAAUGCGAUACGUAAUGUGAAUUGCAGAAUUCAGUGAAUCAUCGAGUCUUUGAACGCACAUUGCGCCCCCUGGUAUUCCGGGGGGCAUGCCUGUCCGAGCGUCAUUGCUGCCCUCAAGCACGGCUUGUGUGUUGGGCCUCCGUCCUCCUCCCGGGGGACGGGCCCGAAAGGCAGCGGCGGCACCGCGUCCGGUCCUCGAGCGUAUGGGGCUUCGUCACCCGCUCUUGUAGGCCCGGCCGGCGCUUGCCGACACAUCAAUCUUUUUUCCAGGUUGACCUCGGAUCAGGUAGGGAUACCCGCUGAACUUAAGCAUAUCAAUAAGUGGAGGA